GUAUUAUAAUUUAAAGGCACAGAAGGCCCAUGAUUAACAUUCUAUAACUUGUUAUGGAGUAUAUGUUAUAAACAUAGACCUGGAAUGCAAGGACAGCUGAUUUUCACAACAGUCCUCAAACCGAGUUUCCUCGAACAGUUUCAUUCAGGCCUACAGUAUGUGCACAGGUGGUUAAAAAAUGGAGUGAGCGUGCACAUGCUCCUGAGAGCCAGCAGCAACCCAACCAAGUUUAUUCAAUAAUGAUCCUUCCGCAGGUUCACCUACGGAAA
rnacentral:misc_RNA from 1 species